rnacentral:rRNA from 1 species
GGGCGUUAAGUUGCAGGGUAUAGACCCGAAACCCGGUGAUCUAGCCAUGGGCAGGUUGAAGGUUGGGUAACACUAACUGGAGGACCGAACCGACUAAUGUUGAAAAAUUAGCGGAUGACCUGUGGCUGGGGGUGAAAGGCCAAUCAAACCGGGAGAUAGCUGGUUCUCCCCGAAAGCUAUUUAGGUAGCGCCUCGUGAAUUCAUCUCCGGGGGUAGAGCACUGUUUCGGCUAGGGGGCCAUCCCGGCUUACCAACCCGAUGCAAACUGCGAAUACCGGAGAAUGUUAUCACGGGAGACACACGGCGGGUGCUAACGUCCGUCGUGAAGAGGGAAACAACCCAGACCGCCAGCUAAGGUCCCAAAGUCAUGGUUAAGUGGGAAACGAUGUGGGAAGGCCCAGACAGCCAGGAUGUUGGCUUAGAAGCAGCCAUCAUUUAAAGAAAGCGUAAUAGCUCACUGGUCGAGUCGGCCUGCGCGGAAGAUGUAACGGGGCUAAACCAUGCACCGAAGCUGCGGCAGCGAACGUAUCACUUAAAGCGAUUCAGCGGGUUACGAUUGACGGAGCGAAGCGACGUCAAAGCGUAUACAAAGUCGAGUCGGUUUAAGGAUACGUUCGUUGGGUAGGGGAGCGUUCUGUAAGCCCGUGAAGGUGGCCUGUGAGGGUUGCUGGAGGUAUCAGAAGUGCGAAUGCUGACAUAAGUAACGAUAAAGCGGGUGAAAAGCCCGCUCGCCGGAAGACCAAGGGUUCCUGUCCAACGUUAAUCGGGGCAGGGUGAGUCGACCCCUAAGGCGAGGCCGAAAGGCGUAGUCGAUGGGAAACGGGUUAAUAUUCCCGUACUUGGUGUUACUGCGAAGGGGGGACGGAGAAGGCUAUGUUGGCCGGGCGACGGUUGUCCCGGUUUAAGCGUGUAGGUGUGUGUUCCAGGUAAAUCCGGUUCACUUUAACACUGAGGCGUGACGACGAGGCACUACGGUGCUGAAGCAACAAAUGCCCUGCUUCCAGGAAAAGCCUCUAAGCAUCAGGUAACAUCAAAUCGUACCCCAAACCGACACAGGUGGUCAGGUAGAGAAUACCAAGGCGCUUGAGAGAACUCGGGUGAAGGAACUAGGCAAAAUGGUGCCGUAACUUCGGGAGAAGGCACGCUGACACGUAGGUGAAGUGAUUUACUCAUGGAGCUGAAGUCAGUCGAAGAUACCAGCUGGCUGCAACUGUUUAUUAAAAACACAGCACUGUGCAAACACGAAAGUGGACGUAUACGGUGUGACGCCUGCCCGGUGCCGGAAGGUUAAUUGAUGGGGUCAGCGCAAGCGAAGCUCCUGAUCGAAGCCCCGGUAAACGGCGGCCGUAACUAUAACGGUCCUAAGGUAGCGAAAUUCCUUGUCGGGUAAGUUCCGACCUGCACGAAUGGCGUAAUGA